GUCCUUUUGGGUUUUAUUUAAGGUCUAGUCUGCCCACUGAAUUUAUAUUUUAAAUGGCCGCAGUAUUUUGACUGUGCAAAGGUAGCAUAAUCAUUAGUUUUUUAAUUAAAAGCUUGUAUGAAAGGCUGGACGAGGUAAAAUCUGUCUCUAUUUAAAUUAUAAUAGAAUUUAACUUUUAAGUUAAAAGGCUUAAAUAUUAUUAAAAGACGAGAAGACCCUAUAGAGCUUUAUAAUUAAUUAAAUAGAAUUAAUUUAGAAGUAUUUAUAUUUUAUUUAAUUAAUUAUUUUAUUGGGGUAAUAGAAAGAUUGAAUUAAUUCUUUUUUAUUAAAAACAUUGAUUUAUGAAUAUUAAAUGAUCCAAUUUUAUUGAUUAUAAGAUUAAGUUACCUUAGGGAUAACAGCGUAAUUUUUUUAGAGAGUUCAUAUCGAUAAUAAAGUUUGCGACCUCGAUGUUGGAUUAAAGAUUAUUUUAGGUGUAGAAGCUUAAAAAUUUUGGUCUGUUCGACCAUUAAAUCUUUAC
rnacentral:rRNA from 1 species